rnacentral:misc_RNA from 1 species
GUAGGUGAACCUGCGGAAGGAUCAUUAACUCAAUAUAUGCGUGGUUGCUUCUCACGAGGUGGCCAAGCAUCAUAUUAACAAAACCAAAUUAACAAUCCGUGAAACUAUACCAAAAACCAAAAUGAAUGGGUUCGCGUGUCAUUACUUCCUUUGAAUGCACGUACUCAGCCAAUACCAAUUCCACCUAAAUUUUAACCAUAUUAAC